rfam:Gasterosteus aculeatus cont1.006531, whole genome shotgun sequence.
UAUCCUAAUGGUUGUAAGUCGCUUUGGAUAAAAGCGUCAGCUAAAUGACAUGUA